rnacentral:hammerhead_ribozyme from 1 species
AUUCAACUGACGAGUCCCCAGUGGGAAGAAACACGCGUCCUGAAU